AUACGAAGGGGGCUAGCGUUGUUCGGAAUUACUGGGCGUAAAGAGCGUGUAGGUGGAACAGAAAGUCAGAGGUGAAAUCCCGGAGCUCAACUCCGGAACUGCCUUUGAAACUUCUGAUCUAGAGACUUGGAGGGGGAAACGGAAUUCCUAAUGUAGGGGUGAAAUCCGUAGAUAUUAGGAGGAACACCGGUGGCGAAGGCGGUUUCCUGGACAAGUACUGACACUGAGACGCGAAAGCGUGGGGAGCAAACAGGAUUAGAAACCCUAGUAGUCC
rnacentral:rRNA from 1 species